GCCUGGGUGGCUCAGUUGGUUAAGCAUAUGACUCUUAGUUUCAUCUCGGGUCAUGAUCUCAUGGUUCGUGAGUUCAAGCCCCACAUCAGGCU
rnacentral:tRNA from 1 species